rnacentral:rRNA from 1 species
UGGGGAAUAUUGGACAAUGGGCGCAAGCCUGAUCCAGCCAUGCCGCGUGAGUGAUGAAGGCCCUAGGGUUGUAAAGCUCUUUCACCGGUGAAGAUAAUGACGGUAACCGGAGAAGAAGCCCCGGCUAACUUCGUGCCAGCAGCCGCGGUAAUACGAAGGGGGCUAGCGUUGUUCGGAUUUACUGGGCGUAAAGCGCACGUAGGCGGACUUUUAAGUCAGGGGUGAAAUCCCGGGGCUCAACCCCGGAACUGCCUUUGAUACUGGAAGUCUUGAGUAUGGUAGAGGUGAGUGGAAUUCCGAGUGUAGAGGUGAAAUUCGUAGAUAUUCGGAGGAACACCAGUGGCGAAGGCGGCUUACUGGACCAUUACUGACGCUGAGGUGCGAAAGCGUGGGGAGCAAACAGG